AAAGUCGUAACAAGGUUUCCGUAGGUGAACCUGCGGAAGGAUCAUUAAAGAUUCUCCAAGGAUGUGCUGGCAUUGCUUGCAAUGCAUGUGCACUCUGCCUUUACAACCCCUGUGCACAUAAUGUAGGCAGGAUUAGAAUUUACCUUCUGAUCCUUGUCUAUGUUUUUAACACCCUUUUAUAAAAAACUUGUUAUAAUUGAUAAAAUAAAACAACUUUCAACAAUGGAUCUCUUGGUUCUC
rnacentral:misc_RNA from 1 species